CAAGCAUUGGCGAAAUCCCGUCCCUACGUGGGAAAAAUAGGAGAAAUGUGUGGGACGAGUCCCGCCACCAUUGACUCGGGUACUCUCGAGCAAAAGUUAAACAGAGCGGAAAAUUUGGAGAUAGCAAUUAAACAGAUAAACGAUAAGCUUGAUAGGUUAGAACCUACCGUCGAAAAAACAGAUUUUCGGCAACGGACAAUGACACAACCCGUGGAAUCGACAGAAUUGCGAGAAUCCCCGUACUAUAGAUCACCUAGAUUGCCUCCACAUCAUGCACAGAGUUGGAACCGUCCACGCUAUAGG
rnacentral:lncRNA from 1 species